rnacentral:rRNA from 1 species
AUUGAACGCUGGCGGCAGGCCUAACACAUGCAAGUCGAACGAGUGGCGGACGGGUGAGUAAUGUCUGGGACACUGCCUGAUGGAGGGGGAUAACUACUGGAAACGGUAGCUAAUACCGCAUCCCAUCGGAUGUGCCCAGAGGGGAUUAGCUAGUAGGUGGGGUAACGGCUCACCUAGGCGACGAUCCCUAGCUGGUCUGAGAGGAUGACCAGCCACACUGGAACUGAGACACGGUCCAGACUCCUACGGGAGGCAGCAGUGGGGAAUAUUGCACAAUGGGCGCAAGCCUGAUGCAGCCAUGCCGCGUGUAUGAAGAAGGCCUUCGGGUUGUAAAGUACUUUCAGCGGGGAAGCGUUACCUACAGAGGAAGCACCGGCUAACUCCGUGCCAGCAGCCGCGGUAAUUC